rnacentral:rRNA from 1 species
CAGCAGCCGCGGUAAUACGAAGGGGGCUAGCGUUGUUCGGAAUUACUGGGCGUAAAGCGCACGUAGGCGGAUAUUUAAGUCAGGGGUGAAAUCCCGCAGCUCAACUGCGGAACUGCCUUUGAUACUGGGUAUCUUGAGUAUGGAAGAGGUUAGUGGAAUUGCGAGUGUAGAGGUGAAAUUCGUAGAUAUUCGCAGGAACACCAGUGGCGAAGGCGGCUAACUGGUCCAUAACUGACGCUGAGGUGCGAAAGCGUGGGGAGCAAACAGGAUUAGAUACCCCCGUAGUCCCUGUCUCUUAUAC